GACGAGCCACACGAACGUUAUUCGGAAUUACUGGGCUUAAAGGGUGCGCAGGCGGCGUCGCAAGUCAGGCGUGAAAUCCCCGGGCUUAACCUGGGAACUGCACUUGAAACUACGAUGCUGGAGUAUGGCAGAGGGAGGUGGAAUUCCACGUGUAGCGGUGAAAUGCGUAGAGAUGUGGAGGAACACCGAUGGCGAAGGCAGCCCCCUGGGUCAAGAUUGACGCUCAUGCACGAAAGCGUGGGGAGCAAACAG
rnacentral:rRNA from 1 species